rnacentral:rRNA from 1 species
GAUGAACGCUGGCGGUAUGCCUAAUACAUGCAAGUCGUGCGGAAAGGCCUCUUCGGAGGUACUCGAGCGGCGGACGGCAGAGUAACGCGUAGGAACAUACCCCAAACUGAGGGAUAACUGCUCGAAAGAGUAGCUAAUACCGCAUGUGGUCUUCGGACUAAAGCUUCGGCGGUUUGGGAAUGGCCUGCGUUCGAUUAGCUAGUUGGUGAGGUAAUUGCUCACCAAGGCGACGAUCGAUAGCUGGUCUGAGAGGAUGAUCAGCCUGACUGGAACUGAGACACGGUCCAGACUCCUACGGGAGGCAGCAGUAGGGAAUUUUCCACAAUGGGCGAAAGCCUGAUGGAGCAAUACCGCGUGCAGGAUGAAGGCCUUCGGGUCGUAAACUGCUUUAUGUGAGAAGAAUUUGACGGUAACACAUGAAUAAGGGUCGGCUAACUACGUGCCAGC